rnacentral:rRNA from 1 species
AAAAGGCAAGGAGACCGAACCCACAUCCGUGAAAAGGUGGGGAUGAGGGUGGAAAGGGAGAAAUCCAAUCGAACCCGGAGAAAGCUGGUUCUCCUCGAAAAAGCUUUAGGCAAGCCUCAUACGAGUCUUGCGGAGGUAGAGCACUGAAUUCCUAAGGGGGCGUCAAAGCUUACUAAGGGAUAUCAAACUCCGAAUGCCGUGUAGAUGAAGUAUGGGAGUCAGACGAUCCGAGAUAAGUUGGGUGGUCAAAAGGGAAAGAGCCCAGACCAACAGCUAAGGCCCCAAAAUGUGUGUUAAGUGGAAAAGGAUGUGGGAUUUCGAAGACAACUAGGAUGUUGGCUCAGAAGCAGCCAUUCAUUCAAAGAGUGCGUAAUAGCUCACUAGUCGAGAGGUCCUGCGCCGAAAAUGUCCGGGGCUAAAACACACUGCCGAAGCUUUGGAAUUGAAUUAAUUCAAUUGGUAGAGGAGCAUUCUUAAAGGGACGAAGCAGUACCGUAAGGAGCUGUGGACUUUUAAGAAGAGAGAAUGCCGGAAUGAGUAGCGAGAGGAAGGUGGGAAUCCUUCCGGCCGAAUAUCUAAGGUUUCCAGAGUAAAGCUGAUCUGCUCUGGGUAAGUCGGGGCCUAAGGCGAGGUCGAAAGACGUAGUCGAUGGAUAACAGGUUGAAAUUCCUGUACUAUCCUGUAACAGAACUGUGGGGACACAGGCAGAGAGCGUGAGCCGGGAAUGGAAAGACCGGUACAAGCGAGGUAGGAGAAGAGUUGGCAAAUCCGCUCUUUAAUCUGAAGACGUGAUGUGGACUGAAAAUAAGUAGGGAAGCACGUGAGCUGACUGUCAAGAAAAGCCGCUAUUGUUUGCAGGAUACCCGUACCGUAAACCGACACAGGUGGAUGAGGAGAGAAUCCUAAGGCCGACGGGAGAAGCAUUGUUAAGGAACUCGGCAAAAUGACUCCGUAACUUCGGGAGAAGGAGUGCCAGUAAGAUGGCCGCAGAGAAUUGGCCCAAGCAACUGUUUAGCAAAAACACAGGUCUAUGCAAAACCGAAAGGUGAGGUAUAUGGGCUGACGCCUGCCCGGUGCUGGAAGGUUAAGGGGAGAGGUUAGCGCAAGCGAAGCUUUGAACUUAAGCCCCAGUAAACGGCGGCCGUAACUAUAACGGUCCUAAGGUAGCGANAUUCCUUGUCGGGUAAGUUCCGACCCGCACGAAAGGCGUAAUGAUUUGGGCACUGUCUCAACAAUGCACCCGGUGAAAUUGAAAUACCAGUGAAGAUGCUGGUUACCUGCGCCUUAACCGAAAGAGCCCAUGGAGCUUUACUCCAGCU